rnacentral:rRNA from 1 species
GAUGAACGCUAGCGAUAGGCUUAACACAUGCAAGUCGAGGGGCAGCAUGGUCUUAGCUUGCUAAGGCUGAUGGCGACCGGCGCACGGGUGCGUAACGCGUAUGCAACUUGCCUCACAGAGGGGGAUAACCCGUCGAAAGACGGACUAAUACCGCGUACACUCUAUGUUGGGCAUCCAAUGUAGAGGAAAUGAAAUUCGCUGUGAGAUAGGCAUGCGUCCCAUUAGCUAGUUGGUGAGGUAACGGCUCACCAAGGCGACGAUGGGUAGGGGAACUGAGAGGUGGAACCCCCACACUGGUACUGGGACACGGACCAGACUCCUACGGGAGGCAGCAGUGAGGAAUAUUGGUCAAUGGGCGAGAGCCUGAACCAGCCAAGUCGCGUGAAGGAUGACUGUCUUAUGGAUUGUAAACUUCUUUUAUACGGGAAUAACAAGAGUCACGUGUGGCUCCCUGCAUGUACCGGAUGAAUAAGCAUCGGCUAACUCCGUG